UACAGAGGGUGCUAGCGUUGUUCGGAAUCAUUGGGCGUAAAGGGCGCGUAGGUGGUUCUGUAUGUCUACCGUGAAAGCAUACAGCUCAACUGUAUUUUGUCGGUAGAAACUGCAGGACUUGAGGCUGGGAGGGGCUGGUGGAAUUCCCUGUGUAGCGGUGAAAUGCGUAGAGAUGGGGGAGAACACUCGUGGCGAAGGCGGCCAGCUAGACCAGUUCUGACACUGAGGCGCGACAGCGUGGGGAGCAAACAGG
rnacentral:rRNA from 1 species